rnacentral:misc_RNA from 1 species
AAGUCGUAACAAGGUUUCCAGAGUUACACCUACAGAAGCCUUGGAUCUUCAGUCUUUUAUAGGCAACACCUUUACUGUGCUUGGAUAUCUUUUAAGGUAAUAAGCAGCUAUUGAAUAGUUCACAGAUCAAACAAAGGUGGUCCUUUAGUACAAGCUACUGGAUUGAAAUAUGACCGGCCCUACUCUUAGAAGAAUAGGAGUCUUUUGCGUUCCGUAGGUGAACAUUAUUGCAGGUUCGCCAGAAUAAAGUCUGUCUUAACAGGCAACAUCUCUA